rnacentral:rRNA from 1 species
GGGCUAGCGUUGUUCGGAAUUACUGGGCGUAAAGCGCGCGUAGGCGGAUCUGCAAGUCGGGGGUGAAAUCCCGAGGCUCAACCUCGGAACUGCCUUCGAUACUGCGGGUCUCGAGUCCGGGAGAGGUGAGUGGAAUUCCUAGUGUAGAGGUGAAAUUCGUAGAUAUUAGGAAGAACACCAGGGGCGAAGGCGGCUCACUGGCCCGGUACUGACGCUGAGGCGCGAAAGCGUGGGGAGCAAACAGG